rnacentral:rRNA from 1 species
GUGCACGCUGGCGGUAGGCCUAACACAUGCCAGUCGAACGGCAGCACAGUAAGAGCUUGCUCUUACGGGUGGCGAGUGGCGGACGGGUGAGGAAUACAUCGGAAUCUACUUUUUCGUGGGGGAUAACGUAGGGAAACUUACGCUAAUACCGCAUACGACCUACGGGUGAAAGCAGGGGAUCUUCGGACCUUGCGCGAUUGAAUGAGCCGAUGUCGGAUCAGCUAGUUGGCGGGGUAAAGGCCCACCAAGGCGACGAUCCGUAGCUGGUCUGAGAGGAUGAUCAGCCACACUGGAACUGAGACACGGUCCAGACUCCUACGGGAGGCAGCAGUGGGGAAUAUUGGACAAUGGGCGCAAGCCUGAUCCAGCCAUACCGCGUGGGUGAAGAAGGCCUUCGGGUUGUAAAGCCCUUUUGUUGGGAAAGAAAAGCAGCAGGUUAAUACCCCGCUGUUCUGACGGUACCCAAAGAAUAAGCACCGGCUAACUUCGUG